CGGGAGGAGCCGCCGGCGGAGCGGAGCGGAGCGGCGCGGAGCGGGCGGUUCAGCACCAGGGAGAGCGCCCCGCGCCGCGCCGCGCCGCGCCGCGCCGCGCCGGGCCGGGCCGGGCCGGGCCCCGCAUGGGGCCGCGCUGAGCGGGGCGGGCGGCCCCUCGGCGGCGGGGCGCGGGCGGGGGGGGCCCGGCGGGCUCCGGGCCGCCCGUGGAUGAGCACCAUGCGGCUGCUGCUGCUCGCCCUGCUCUUCUCCUCCUCCUUCGCCCGCGCCGGCUGCGACCCCAAGAUCGUCAACAUCGGCGCGGUGCUGAGCACCAAGAAGCACGAGCAGAUCUUCCGCGAGGCGGUGAACCAGGCCAACAAGCGGCACGGCACCUGGAAGCUCCAGCUCAACGCCACCUCGGUCACGCACAAGCCCAACGCCAUCCAGAUGGCCCUCUCCGUCUGCGAGGACCUCAUCUCCAGCCAGGUCUAUGCAAUAUUAGUUAGUCACCCUCCUGCUCCCAACGAUCACCUAACACCAACACCCGUAUCAUACACAGCUGGCUUCUACAGGAUCCCUGUCAUUGGUCUGACAACACGCAUGUCUAUAUAUUCUGAUAAGAGUAUCCACCUGUCCUUUUUGCGCACGGUCCCACCAUACUCUCACCAGGCCAACGUCUGGUUUGAGAUGAUGAGAGUCUUCAACUGGAAUCACGUCAUUCUGAUAGUCAGUGACGACCACGAAGGUCGUGCUGCACAAAAGAAGCUGGAGACCCUCUUGGAGGAGAGAGAGUCCAAGAGUAAAAAAAGGAACUAUGAAAACCUCGACCAACUUUCCUAUGACAACAAGCGAGGACCCAAGGCUGAGAAAGUGCUUCAGUUUGACCCUGGAACCAAAAACGUGACGUCGCUGCUGCUGGAAGCUAAGGAGCUGGAGGCUCGAGUCAUCAUCCUUUCUGCCAGUGAGGAUGAUGCGGCCACGGUGUACAGAUCAGCAGCCAUGCUCAAUAUGACAGGCUCCGGCUACGUGUGGCUGGUGGGGGAACGGGAGAUAUCGGGCAAUGCCCUGCGUUACGCCCCUGAUGGAGUGAUCGGUUUGCAGCUCAUCAAUGGAAAGAACGAGUCAGCCCACAUCAGUGACGCUGUUGCAGUGGUGGCCCAGGCUGUGCAUGACUUGUUUGAGAAGGAGAAUAUCACAGACCCGCCACGGGGCUGCGUGGGCAACACCAACAUCUGGAAGACGGGACCCCUAUUCAAGAGGGUGUUGAUGUCCUCCAAGUACUCGGAGGGUGUCACUGGACGGGUGGAGUUCAAUGAGGACGGGGACAGGAAGUUUGCCAACUACAGCAUCAUGAACCUGCAGAAUCGGAAACUGGUCCAAGUUGGGAUUUACAAUGGCAGCCACGUCUUGACCAAUGACCGGAAGAUUAUCUGGCCAGGGGGAGAAACCGAGAAACCUCAAGGCUAUCAGAUGUCAACCAAGUUGAAGAUCGUGACCAUCCACCAAGAGCCCUUUGUGUAUGUGAAGCCCACGCAAGCAGAUGGGACAUGCAGGGAGGAAUUCACCAUCAAUGGAGAUCCUGUGAAAAAGGUUUUUUGCACUGGACCCAACGAGACCAUCCCAGGCCGCCCCACCGUGGCACUAUGCUGCUACGGCUUCUGCAUCGACCUGCUCAUCCGGCUGGCAGGGGUAAUGAACUUCACCUACGAGGUUCACCUGGUGGCUGAUGGUAAAUUUGGUACCCAAGAGCGGGUUAACAACAGCAACAAGAAGGAGUGGAAUGGAAUGAUGGGGGAGCUGCUGAGCGGCCAAGCAGACAUGAUUGUGGCUCCCCUCACCAUCAACAACGAGCGGGCACAGUACAUUGAGUUCUCCAAGCCCUUCAAGUACCAAGGCCUCACCAUCCUUGUGAAGAAGGAAAUCCCCCGCAGCACCUUGGACUCAUUCAUGCAGCCUUUCCAGAGCACACUUUGGCUGCUGGUGGGGCUGUCUGUGCACGUGGUGGCAGUGAUGUUGUAUCUCUUGGACCGAUUCAGCCCAUUUGGCCGGUUCAAAGUGAACAGUGAGGAGGAGGAGGAAGAUGCCCUGACCCUUUCCUCAGCCAUGUGGUUCUCCUGGGGAGUCCUGCUGAACUCUGGCAUCGGAGAAGGUGCUCCCCGGAGUUUCUCUGCCCGUAUUCUUGGCAUGGUGUGGGCUGGCUUUGCUAUGAUCAUUGUGGCUUCAUACACUGCCAACCUGGCAGCCUUCCUGGUGUUAGACCGGCCUGAGGAGAGAAUUACAGGCAUUAAUGACCCCCGGCUGCGCAACCCGUCUGAUAAGUUCAUCUACGCCACGGUGAAGCAGAGCUCGGUGGAUAUCUACUUCCGAAGGCAGGUGGAGCUGAGCACGAUGUACCGGCAUAUGGAGAAGCACAACUACGAGAGCGCUGCCGAAGCCAUCCAGGCAGUGAGGGACAACAAGCUCCACGCCUUCAUCUGGGACUCAGCAGUGCUGGAGUUUGAAGCCUCCCAGAAGUGUGACCUGGUGACGACGGGGGAGCUUUUCUUCCGCUCCGGCUUCGGGAUCGGGAUGCGCAAGGACAGCCCGUGGAAGCAGAAUGUCUCCCUGGCCAUCCUCAAGUCCCACGAGAACGGCUUCAUGGAGGAUUUGGACAAGACUUGGGUGAGGUAUCAGGAGUGUGAUUCCCGUAGCAAUGCCCCAGCAACACUCACCUUUGAAAAUAUGGCAGGUGUGUUUAUGCUGGUGGCUGGAGGUAUUGUUGCCGGGAUAUUUUUAAUAUUCAUAGAAAUAGCUUACAAAAGGCAUAAGGACGCGCGGAGGAAGCAGAUGCAGCUGGCGUUUGCGGCCGUUAAUGUGUGGAGGAAAAACCUGCAGAGAGAACUGAGAAGGAGGAGCAAAUGUAUCCCCGAGCAUGCUCUACGCACCAGCGGGAUACAUUUUGGUUACCCCCGUGCGGUAGCAGAGCCAGACCUGGUCACUCCGUCCCCCGUCGGAAAGGUCACACUCAUUGGCACGAAAGCAAUUGGGGAGGAAUCGUUCUCAGCGCCCGCCGCAGAGCGCGGCCGGUCCCCACGGCUCGCUGCCCCCGCACCAUGGCGGCUGGUGCUCCCAGCCUGCGCUAACCAGGAUAGAAAAAGUGGUAGAGCAGAACCUGACCCUAAAAAGAAAGCCACUUUUAGGUCCAUCACCUCCACCCUGGCCUCCAGCUUCAAGAGACGUAGGUCCUCCAAGGAUACGCCCUGCAGAAUGGUCCCUCAGGAGUGCCAGAGAGACAGGCUGGCACCAUGGAGCCAAGACAGCCCUGGGAAGCUACCACCCCACUCUGAACGUCCUAGCGCCCACCAUCACCCGAGCUGCACAGCCUCUCCGCGGCACAUCAUCCCCACCGCCCCAGGAGGAGAUGCAUGUGUUCCCCAUAGGCAGCUCCUGCAACUCGAAUAGCACUCGCAGAGCUGACGUACUGCCAUCCAUCGCAGCCACCCACGAUACUGCAACCCCACAGAAGCCAUCAAUAUCAUCCCACCGACAUCACUGGCCAGCUCAACCUCUCCGACCCCUCAGUCAGCACUGUGGUGUGACCUUCUCCCCGGGGGCCAUCAGUCCUUGCCCAACACAGUAGGAAGGCACAGCCAGGACUGCCUUUCAAGGGACACUGAUGGGUUCUUCUGGGUGAGAUGGGAGGAAAGCAUCCUUCAUCCAUACACAGUGACUUCAUUGUAUAUCUCCCUCCCUUCCUAGGCCUGCUGCCAUGCUCAUGCCCCAGAAUGCACGGCAGAACCAGGACAUGGUUUGGACUUCACUGUACAGAGAUAAUUGCUUCCAACCAAUGCUGUUGAUAAUCAGUAUUGCCACUGACUGGCUACGUGCAAGGGGAAAGGACUUUGAAAGGCACAUGGUGCCUGCUCUCCCAUGGUAGCAGGGAAGAGCUGGUGCCAGACUACGAAUGUGCUUCACUUUGCAGGCUUCAGGCUUCUCAGCACACGCACGGCCCCUCAGCCAUGUGCUCCACGUUUCCCACCACCCUGGAGGGCUCCAGUGCAACAUGCUCGUGGUCCCGAGCAACUGGAGCAGCCGAGGCAGUUCAGCAGGUUGGGCACAUGUUCCUGCUGUGCCGAGUGACCCCCACCUCUGCAGCAGGGGCUGGAAGAUGUGUGCUCUGCUCCUCACAGGGGAUGAACCCCCUGUUCCUCCCUCCCAUCAGCCCAUGGCUGUGACUUGGCUCCUGUACAUGGUCUGUUUGCAGCAGGAGUGCUCCAAGCCCUGCAGCCCACGCUCCUGUGCUAAACGCGGUACUCUGGAGCUCCUAACAUGCUCUCAGCCAAGAUCCUGGCUCCCCACCUCUCCUGCACAGAAGGCAUCCCCAGGACCUGGCCAUGGCCACCAUGUAGCUCUCACACUGUGGCUCUCCUGGCCAGGAACAUCUCCACGGUAAAUGGAUCUGGAUUGUUGCGUUGACCUUUAGCCAAGCUCCACACUGCCUCAGCACCAGCAAUGCGAGGAGAGAUGCUGCUGGCCAGCUGUGGCUUGCUGCGUGCUCCGGUGUCUGCAGCAGCCACCCAGCCUGCCUGCAGUGUCAGCACACUGCAGCGGGCACUGGCAGCUUCCCUGCCACACUCACCUCCAGUUCAAGCUUGCCAGCAGCUCCUACGGCAGCCCUGAAGCCCCAGCUCACAUGGCUGCAUCUGCCUGAACCUGGAAACUGGAUCCCCAUUCAGGAAAAGGGAACCAAAUGAGACAGGCCGAUGCCAUUCCUCCCCACAGCUUCCUCCCCUCAAGCAUAUGUGCCCAUGUGCCAACAUCCCUGAGCACCCUCCCCGUGGGCACUGUGAGUGGGUGCAGAGACACCAGUGCCGGGGAAGCAUCUGGCACCAGCCAGGCUGGUGAUGAGCUGCUACAGCACACACACGGGCAACAUCGCAUCCCGCCUCCUGCGAAGGCGGAAAACCCACCUGCAAUGUGGUACCAAGCCCCAGCAACAUGAACUGCCCUCUCCUUGCCCCAGCCAAGCAGACGGGGCUUCCCCCUGGGGGUCAGCAGCCUUUGCAGGCAGGAUUUUCAGAUGGCAGCUGAGGUUUGUGAGCAUCGUCCCACUGACUGCAGUGGCUCCAUCAAGUUCAUCUCACUCCAGCUGAGAAAUUGGACCCAUUCUACUUUAUAUGUCAAUGUAACAUUAAUACCAAGUUUUUGCAAAAGCUAAGUAAAGUCUAGACUGGAUCAUGAA